rnacentral:ncRNA from 1 species
AUAGCGAAGUAGUACCGUGAGGGAAAGGUGAAAAGAACCCCCAGUGGGUAGUGAAAUAGAACGUGAAACCGUGCUGAGCUCCCAAGCAGUGGGAGGGGAAAGUGCUCUCUGACCGCGUGCCUGUUGAAGAAUGAGCCGGCGACUCAUAGGCAGUGGCUUGGUUAAGGGAACGGAACCCACCGGAGCCGUAGCGAAAGCGAGUCUUAAUAGGGCGAUUGUCACUGCUUAUGGACCCGAACCUGGGUGAUCUAUCCAU